rnacentral:rRNA from 1 species
AUGCACGCUGGCGGCGUGCCUCAUACAUGCAAGUCGCGCGAACAGACGAGGAGCUUGCUCCUCUGACGUUAGCGGCGGACGGGUGAGUAACACGUGGAUAACCUACCUAUAAGACUGGGAUAACUUCGGGAAACCGGAGCUAAUACCGGAUAAUAUAUUGAACCGCAUGGUUCAAUAGUGAAAGACGGUUUUGCUGUCACUUAUAGAUGGAUCCGCGCCGCAUUAGCUAGUUGGUAAGGUAACGGCUUACCAAGGCGACGAUGCGUAGCCGACCUGAGAGGGUGAUCGGCCACACUGGAACUGAGACACGGUCCAGACUCCUACGGGAGGCAGCAGUAGGGAAUCUUCCGCAAUGGGCGAAAGCCUGACGGAGCAACGCCGCGUGAGUGAUGAAGGUCUUCGGAUCGUAAAACUCUGUUAUUAGGGAAGAACAAAUGUGUAAGUAACUAUGCACGUCUUGACGGUACCUAAUCAGAAAGCCACGGCUAACUACGUG